rnacentral:rRNA from 1 species
GCUUGUCUCAAAGAUUAAGCCAUGCAUGUCUAAGUAUAAGCCUUUACACGGUGAGACUGCGAAUGGCUCAUUAAAUCAGUUAUCAAAUACGUGAUGGUCGCCUACUACUUGGAUAACCGUAGUAAUUCUAGAGCUAAUACAUGCAUCAUCCCCCAUCUCGGGGUGUAUUUAUUAGAUGGAAACCAAUGCGGGGCAACCCGGAAUAUGGUGAAUCAUAAUAACUGUCGUAUCGAGCAAUCGAAGCGCCAUACAAGUUUCUGCCCUAUCAGCUUUGGAUGGUAGGGUAUUGGCCUACCAUGGCUUUAACGGGUAACGGAGAAUUAGGGUUCGAUUCCGGAGAGGGAGCCUGAGAAACGGCUACCACAUCCAAGGAAGGCAGCAGG